ACGUUUCCGAAAGACGGAUCAUGUACUAGAAGGUGAGUUAACUAAUUUUGUGUUGUUUUUUCAUGUUUUUUCAGGUGAAACGGACUACCAACCCAACAUAAACAAAUCCACUCAGAUGGAGGCAGGGAUGUUUCCGCGCGGCACUGGACGGUUCUGGACGGACGGAUUUGGACUCUUGAAGCGGACGAUGGAUUUUAGAAUUGAAGGAUGUUGCAUGCAGCUAAACUAGGAGCGGAUACGGACCACGGCACCAGGCCGGAACUACUUUUGGUUAGCACACGCCGGACGGACUGCUGCCAGCAUACGGGAAUUGCCUCAAACGGCCUAUUUGAAGACAGCUAUAACGGAUGCUGAGAAGGGAAGUUGACUUCCAGUUAAAGGUAAGUGUGUGAACAAAUUUUAAUGUUUUCUUUUUCAUUUUAGGAACAAUCGGACGGCGGAACCCAAGAUGUCAAUCAACCCCGAAGGACCCCAACCCCAACAUGAACCCACAUUUAACAUAAACUCCCACAUUAAACA